UGGUAAAAAGUUGUGAUAAGGCCUUUGGGUUAGAUAGGAUAAUCAAGUCUCUGGUGUUGUAUAUAAUUUAUAUUGUAAUAUGUAUUAAUUAUAUAUAUAUGGGAAUAAAAUGCCAUAAAAUUUAUUACAUACAGAGAACUAAACAAGCCUGUGUUCUAAUCCUAAUUCUGCCACUAGCUGUGUGACCUUAGGCAAGUCACUUAACCUCUUUGAGCUUAAGCUUCCUUUUCUGUAAAAUCAGAAUAUUGCCAACUACACAGUUGCAGGAAGAAUUAGAGCUAAUAUGUCUAAAGAGCUUAGCAGAGUGCCAAACACAUAGUAAAUACUGGAUAAAUGAAACCUAUAGUUUUGAUGAAAAUUAAUACUACUUAGGUUGUUCUAUGGAUAAAUUUUUUCAGAUAGGCAGCAUAAUUUCACAGUACCUAUUACCGGCUUGAUCCCUUUUCCUAACGUAGAUAUUUUAAAGUGAUUGCAAUUAAAGAUGUUGAGUAUCCUUGAGUCUUGACCUUAGAAGUGUUAAUUAGCUCAAAGACUUCAGAUUCUACCUUCUCUCCAGGACACUGGUACAUAAACCAAAAAGGGGGAGAUAGAAAAAGAGGCAGAAUAGUGUACAACAGCUGCCAAAGCAAACGGCGUCCUUGUCAAAUUAUUUGUGAAAUCAUGAGUUAAAUGAUAGUAAGGAAAUUUGUUUAUUGCAGGAACUGUCAGAGGCUUUAAUGUAUAAAUGUUCUUUGUCAUUCUUCAAGGGUGGGUGUGAUAGCUUCUUUUGAACUUAUUUUACUAUGUAAAUCUUUAUCUCAUAUGUAUCUGUUAUCUUUGUUUUUAAAUUGUUUGUGGUGGGGCAUUUUCAAGGACUAGUCUACAAAACACGGUUUGGGAAGCACUGGUACGAGCCCAGAUACGGAGGGUGGAACAUAUCAGUGUUUGGAGAAUAGCAGAGAUCGGAAGUGCGU